rnacentral:rRNA from 1 species
ACGAGUGGCGGACGGGUGAGUAAUGUCUGGGAAACUGCCUGAUGGAGGGGGAUAACUACUGGAAACGGUAGCUAAUACCGCAUAACGUCGCAAGACCAAAGAGGGGGACCUUCGGGCCUCUUGCCAUCGGAUGUGCCCAGAUGGGAUUAGCUAGUAGGUGGGGUAAAGGCUCACCUAGGCGACGAUCCCUAGCUGGUCUGAGAGGAUGACCAGCCACACUGGAACUGAGACACGGUCCAGACUCCUACGGGAGGCAGCAGUGGGGAAUAUUGCACAAUGGGCGCAAGCCUGAUGCAGCCAUGCCGCGUGUAUGAAGAAGGCCUUCGGGUUGUAAAGUACUUUCAGCGGGGAGGAAGGGAGUAAAGUUAAUACCUUUGCUCAUUGACGUUACCCGCAGAAGAAGCACCGGCUAACUCCGUGCCAGCAGCCGCGGUAAUACGGAGGGUGGAAGCGUUAAUCGGAAUUACUGGGCGUAAAGGGCACGCAGGCGGUGUGGUAACCCAGAAGUGAAAUCCCCGGGCUCCACCUGGGAACUGCAUCCGAGGCUGGCAAACUUGA